AUUGAACGCUGGCGGCAGGCCUAACACAUGCAAGUCGAACGGUAACAGGAAGCAGCUUGCUGCUUCGCUGACGAGUGGCGGACGGGUGAGUAAUGUCUGGGAAACUGCCUGAUGGAGGGGGAUAACUACUGGAAACGGUAGCUAAUACCGCAUAACGUCGCAAGACCAAAGAGGGGGACCUUAGGGCCUCUUGCCAUCGGAUGUGCCCAGAUGGGAUUAGCUAGUAGGUGGGGUAACGGCUCACCUAGGCGACGAUCCCUAGCUGGUCUGAGAGGAUGACCAGCCACACUGGAACUGAGACACGGUCCAGACUCCUACGGGAGGCAGCAGUGGGGAAUAUUGCACAAUGGGCGCAAGCCUGAUGCAGCCAUGCCGCGUGUAUGAAGAAGGCCUUCGGGUUGUAAAGUACUUUCAGCGGGGAGGAAGGGAGUAAAGUUAAUACCUUUGCUCAUUGACGUUACCCGCAGAAGAAGCGCCGGCUAACUCCGUA
rnacentral:rRNA from 1 species